CUGCUUUUGUCUGGUUUGUCUAAAGGCUUUCAAGUUGUUCAUAGGAGUAAAGUUAAGAGUUAAAGUUAAAGAAGUUAAUAGUCAAAGUAAAAGGUUGAUUGGCUGGUGCAGUGGGAACUGGUCGUCCCCGAUCUCCCCCGGAUGCGGGGAAGGGAAAGACUAGGUUUUGUCAGUUUUAUCCUUGAGGAGUGCUGCCCUCGGAAAAGAACGCGUUAGCCAAUCUGUGACUUUGCUUGAGAAACGCGAAUGCGGUGAAAGCGGUCCACCAUAGGGAAAAAGAUGAGACAAGAGAAUAAAGAGAUAAGAGAAUAAGAUAAAGGUUGAUCGCGAUCUGUUCCUCUGUAGAGUAAUAAGUGAAGUAAUAAGUGAAAUAAGUGAUAAGAGAGGACAUCAUAGGAGCUGAAAAGCGUGGAUCCAUUUCUGUGUAUCUGAAAGCUGUGUGUCUGUCAGCUGUGUGUGUAAGCUUCUGCCGCUGAGCAGACGUUAUGUGUUUAAAUGUACUCUUUUAUGUUUAUUGCAAUGUCUUUAAAACCAUGGUCAAAAUUGGGAACUUAUAAUCUGUGGGAGGUUUUUGAUUUUGUUUGCUGGGUUUGAUUUUCUGCUGUGUUUGAUUUCCUCGCCGCCGUGCGAGCAAAACUAAAAAAAAGAAAAGAAAAGAGAGAGGUGAUUUUUGAGCCUUAAUUUUAGCCUAAACAGAUGGAGGGUGAAUUUGAAAAGGAAAAAUACUAUCCAAAGUGGGGCAUCGGGCCAUGGAUUGCGCUCGGUGAGUAAAUAGAAGCAUUAAUAACUUAUUUGGCAAAGCAUGACAAAUAUCAAAAUAAGGGAGAAAGAGAAAAACAAAAAAAAAAGGGGCUAGAAUACCUGGUGCAGAAGAAAGGAGGCAACCUGUUAAACAGACAGCCUUUGGGGAAUAUUGGCUGGAAGCAAUAAAUGACGCUAAGGGAAAACUUAUUGAAACUAAACUAAUCCUGCACAAUUCACUAUAUUCACAUGUGGUAAAAUUAACUGUAUGAAGGAUGAACGAAAUGACAUAA